rnacentral:rRNA from 1 species
UACGUAGGGCGCAAGCGUUGUCCGGAAUUAUUGGGCGUAAAGAGCUCGUAGGCGGCUUGUCACGUCGGGUGUGAAAGCCCGGGGCUUAACCCCGGGUCUGCAUUCGAUACGGGCUGGCUGGAGUGUGGUAGGGGAGAUCGGAAUUCCUGGUGUAGCGGUGAAAUGCGCAGAUAUCAGGAGGAACACCGGUGGCGAAGGCGGUUCUCUGGGCAUGUCCUGACGCUGAGGAGCGAAAGUGUGGGGAGCGAACAGG